rnacentral:rRNA from 1 species
AGCGAACGCUGGCGGCAGGCCUAAUACAUGCAAGUCGAGCGCACCUUCGGGUGAGCGGCGGACGGGUGAGUAACGCGUGGGAACGUGCCCUUUGGUACGGAACAACUGAGGGAAACUUCAGCUAAUACCGUAUGUGCCCUUCGGGGAAAGGAUUUAUCGCCAUUGGAGCGGCCCGCGUUGGAUUAGGUAGUUGGUGAGGUAAAGGCUCACCAAGCCUACGAUCCAUAGCUGGUCUGAGAGGAUGAUCAGCCACACUGGGACUGAGACACGGCCCAGACUCCUACGGGAGGCAGCAGUAGGGAAUCUUGCGCAAUGGGCGAAAGCCUGACGCAGCCAUGCCGCGUGAAUGAUGAAGGUCUUAGGAUU